rnacentral:lncRNA from 8 species
AAUACAACACCCACAUCACACACUGCCACCUGGUGGGCACUGGAAACACAACACCCACAUCACACACUGCCACCUGGUGGGCACUGGAAACACAACACCCCGUCACACUGCCACCUGGUGGGCACUGGAAAUACAACACCCACAUCACACACUGCCACCUGGUGGGCACUGGAAAUACAACACCCACAUCACACACUGCCACCUGGUGGGCACUGGAAAUACAACACCCACAUCACACACUGCCACCUGGUGGGCACUGGAAACACAACACCCACAUCACACACUGCCACCUGGUGGGCACUGGAAAUACAACACCCACAUCACACACUGCCACCUGGUGGGCACUGGAAAUACAACACCCACAUCACACACUGCCACCUGGUGGGCACUGGAAAUACAACACCCACAUCACACACUGCCACCUGGUGGGCACUGGAAAUACAACACCCACAUCACACACUGCCACCUGGUGGGCACUGGAAAUACAACACCCACAUCACACACUGCCACCUGGUGGGCACUGGAAAUACAACACCCACAUCACACACUGCCACCUGGUGGGCACUGGAAACACAACACCCCGUCACACUGCCACCUGGUGGGCACUGGAAAUACAACACCCCGUCACAUUGCCACCUGGUGGGCACUGGAAAUACAACACCCACAUCACACACUGCCACCUGGUGGGCACUGGAAAUACAACACCCACAUCACACACUGCCACCUGGUGGGCACUGGAAAUACAACACCCACAUCACACACUGCCACCUGGUGGGCACUGGAAAUACAACACCCACAUCACACACUGCCACCUGGUGGGCACUGGAAAUACAACACCCACAUCACACACUGCCACCUGGUGGGCACUGGAAAUACAACACCCAUAUUACACACUGCCACCUGGUGGGCACUGGAAAUACAAUCAUAAUAAUAUUGCUGUCUGGAGAUGGGAUCCAGUCUUGCUGUCUGGAGGUGGGAUCCAGUCUUGCUGUCUGGAGGUGUGAUCCAGUCUUGCUGUCUGGAGGUGUGAUCCAGUCUUGCUGUCUGGAGGUGUGA